rnacentral:lncRNA from 1 species
CAAACGGCCCAGUGUCCCAGAAAGGAGCAAGCGAGGUUACAGUGCAAGAUGCUGAGUGUCCUGGGCUCUUUAGGGCAAAAAAAAAAAAAAAACCCAAAAACCCUCGUUAGGCACUAAAGGGAGGGGCCGGCUUCCUUGAAAAUAUUCGCCAAAGCAGACAUCCAAGGUAACCGAAGAUAGAAAACAGGCCUAAAAAUAAAUCCCAGAAGGAAGACGAGAUUUGCCUACAUUUGUCUCUGAACUCUGGCAUCAUAAACCUUCACAAGGUGACUCAGAGGAGGCUGAUCACUGUGAACCCCCGAGGAGAAGGAAUCUCUGCCCCGCCCCCCCCCGCGCCGGCACACCGCACCUCUUGAGGAAAACCAUCGUUGACGUUCUUGGGAAAGAGGUGAACAGGCAGGUCCCAGCAGACACUUGGCAGUUCCUAUGA